UGCAUUUUCUAGACUUCGACAUGAAAGGGGGUUUGAGUUGUAAUUGAAACGCGAAAAUGGAACGUGACAUUAUUUGAUCAAAAUCCCGAAAUUCCUCGUAGUUGAAAUCGAAGCCAGUUUAUUGCGCAAAUACUAUUUUUUUAUGAAUGAUGCGCGCGUAGCGGCGACAUUGAGCGUUUCUAUUUAAACCCAAUUAUUUUAUUUCGAUUUAAAACAAAAAUUUCCAAUCGCGAAUUUUUAUUAGAAAUUUCGAUGGAAAAUUCAAAUCCAAGUGAUUUCUAUAAAAUGUCGACGUGAAAAAGUUGAGAAAAAUAUUCUUGGUUGGAAUAAUAAUAUGCGCGCGCAAGUCGAAAAGGCAAAACAUCCGAAUUCAACGGAAUUAGCAAAUUCUUGCAUAUUUUUUGAAAAAAACGUUCGCCGCGUUCGCUCUCAUCUUAUCGGGUGUGCCGGGUGUGCUGCGUGACGGGCGCCAAAGUGAUUACUGUGAUUAUUGCUAACCUGCUGAUUCAGCUUUGUUAACCUUUCAGUCAAUUCCGAGUAGUAUGAGCUCCAUGUCCAGCAUCAUCAAGGCAUUUCUGGUGGAUUUCUUUCUGACACAGAUGAAUGACAUAGAUGUGCCAUUCUGCUACACGUAGCAGAACCAAUAGAAUACAUAGAUGUGUGUGUUGAAUCUGGCAUUCUGCUGACCCGCCAUCAUCUCCCGCUUUCCAUCUUUUUAGUAAACAAUGCUAUUAUAAAUAUUUCAUCGCUUUUUUCCUCUUUUUUCGAAAUGGUGAAUUCAGCGGUAUUACGCAAGCGCGCUUUAUAGACGGAGUUGGGUGACACUCGACUGAAUUAUUCUUUUUCAACAGGCCCGCGAAUCGGAUCGAGUGUCAACGAGCUGAUUCGAUAGUAAAUCAAUUUUUCCCAUUCAAAAAUAAUUAAACAAUUUUUUGAUUUUGAUUUUCGGGUUUCUCAAUUUUAAAUUCACUGGCACUAUCGAUAAUUUCCAAUAGUUUGACGUUCUAGUUGAAUAGGUAUUUUCAUACAAUCCAGGACAAUAUUUUAAAAGAAAUUGUACAUUUGAUUUUUAAAUGAAAUAAAGCGAAGGGAAAAAGUGAAACGUCAGAAAAAUAAAAAUAAAAAUCAUGUGGAUGGUGGUGGGGUCCAUGGGAGCUAUAUCGCCUUGGUUACACGCAUUUUUCUUUGCACGACGCUAGUCGUCGCAGUGUUGAUGAGCCUGUUGCCUCCUCAAAAUAGGAACGUCUGUCGUAUAAAUAGCACAGCCCUAAAUGCGACGUAAAUAUAUGCAUAUAUUUAUUUAUAUAUCAGCAGCAAGAAAGGGCAAGCGAAAGCCCAGUUCAAACAAAGAACAUUAAUUGAUUAGGCUGUUGGUGAGCGCAGCGAUUGGAAUUUGUCAAAUCUCCUUUUUCGAAUCAGUUGGAGGAAUCGACUCCAUUCUGAUUGCGCUAUUAUUUUAGGCAUUCCGAAAUUAUUUUCGUCUUAUUUCACGGGAUAAUAACUCGGAUUAGAAAUCAUUUAAGUUUAAUUUCAAAUUUCGUGGAUGACGGUUUCGUAAUAAAAUAUUUAUAAUCAAUAAAUGCAAAUUCUUAACUCGCAAUAGACUCGCAUAAACAGAACAAAUUAUUUAUAACAAAUUUAAAUGGUUUAAAAUUACAGGGGAAUGAACAUGUCAAAUAUUUUUAUUUGUUACUUUAUUAAGUAAUUUACAGCGAAACAUAAAGUUUUAUCCGAUUUACUCAACAAAUAGACGUAAAAAUGUUUAAACUUUAAUCGACUUCAAGUUAAACACGGAAAAUAGGGCAGUUAUGUUUAAGUCGGAUUCAAACCGGCGCCUGAUUGCAUCCUCCCGUUUCUUUGAAAUAAUAACGCCGAUAGAGCAAGGGACCGGAAGUGGUAGGCCCUUUUUCCCUCAACACCAAAUGUUCUUCGAUGCUCAGCUGUAAAAGUUCAUGUGCCACACAAGAUAAAGUGGGUUCCGACGAAUAGGAAAAGGUGAACAGACGAUUAGAAACGUGUUCACGGAACCGGAUGGCACGCAAUAACCGGGAAUUAGGAAUAAAGAAGAACUUUAAUCUUUCUUGAUAGUUACUUUCCUCGGAAUUCUAGGCUACCAUAUUACCGCUUACAUAUCAAUGAUUCACUCUUGAUUUACCCCAAAUUAUCAUACAGGGAUUAUGGUACUGAUUUGAAUUACCCUAUCUUUAAAUCUUAGCUAAAAUUUUGAAUAAAAAAUCCCACCCCUGGGGUUAUUUUGAAUCUCAAGCCAAUUUUUGAAUCUUAAGUAGAAAUAUAAAAUGUUGAAUUUUAAGCCAAAAUUUUUAAUAAUAUUUCUAUUUUAUAUUUUUACAUUGCUUAUUCCCUCAGUAGAUGGCGAAUAAUUUCGUGAGUUACCUUGAAGUAUUUUUAUGUCACGCACGCACGUUAUUAUGCGCCAUCAAAAAAUGUUAUUUUUAUCCAGAAAAACAAUAUUUCUGCCAUCUAGCGGGAACAAAUGGACAUAACGAAAUUGACAGUUACCUGUGUUAGCAAAGUACCCGAAGCGCUAAAAUUUCUUGAAACAAACUAACAAUCAAAAUAGGAUGUGACGUUUAAUAACUUGCCAAUAACAAUAUCUGACUCGCUAACAACAAUAAUCCAACGAGCCUCUGUAGGCCUACUAGGCUACUAAUGUCAUUCGUAACCCGCAAGCCGCAACAGUCAUUUCAUUUUCGUGUUUACCGUUAUCUAACAAUUCCUCAAAUUUUUUAAAUUUUCGAUUAUUUUCUGUAGUUGAGCCAUCAGUGCGAAAUCAAUCAAAACUAUUUUUACUCACUGAGCUUCAUAAAAGGGCAACACUGCACUAGCUAGUUCUCACGAUCCGUCACGGUCACGGAAGUUCGUCUGCACUCCGCAAUGUAAAAGUUGUUAAGGCGGCAACAGGCAAGUGAGACAUGCCACAGGACAUAAGAUGGUUAGUUGGUUAUCAGCGGAUCGGUAAACUAAACUGUUGAGUGUUGCUAAGUUUCAAUCAUUGAGAUGUUUGAUUGUAGUGAGUAUUUUGCAAAUGAGUCCGUUCACGUAAAUGUUUGCAGUUGAUUCCCGAUUGUGCGUUACCCACGGGCUUCCAUGUUACCCUCUAACGUGGUGACCGGUGGUGACCAACAGCCCAUGUGCCCAGAUCACAUUGGUGCCACAAGUGAGACUCUGGAAUCUUCGGAUCACCAACGGCAUCGGCGCGAAUGCUGAUUCAUUGCAAAUCGCAUCUUUGACGAAAAACUAACAUUCGGGAAGAAAUUGUCUUCGUGAGAAAUCAGAAAAGAUGUCGAAAGCUCCUUCGUCAUAUUCAAGUAGACAAGCUUGAAGUUAAAAUAGAAUGCAAGUUACAACUACACCGACGUCGUAUAACCGGAUCUUUGCCAUCUCAAUCGGAAUGAUCAGAUUAUGCCCUCAUUUGUCAUGAGGAUGGAGCAGCCAGGAGUUUCGGGGCACCACCGGUCAUCACGGUCCUUUGUUGGGCCUUCGGAUAGAUAAGGUAUUAAACAAAUGGAGUUCACUUGCAGGUUAGAAUCCAUCCCCCCCCCCCCCUCUUUAGCUUUAAUUCUUGCUGUUACUUCAUUUGCAUCCCCAUUUUUUGCCCCUUUUCGCAGUGAAUUAUCUUUGUGUUUUUCACCUGUUUCCUCUCUGGGAAGGCUGUAACUCUUUUUGAAUGAGAAGAUACGGGUGCCGCAAAUCACAAGAUAUGUUUUACUUGUUAUUUCGUCACCUGCUGUAGUAAAGUGCCAUUUCCCAGUCUAUUGGGGUGCGGUCAUGAAUGUAAGGUUUCAGCUUUGCCGACAUCUCUUUGUUACUUAAGGUCAAACAUUGAUUGCGUCAAUCAAGGAGUUAUAGUCUAGCGAGAGUUACUGCGAAUUGAACAAAUGCGCCGAGUGAAAAUAGCACCGUUAGCUUAAUCGGUUGGUAUCCCAAUAUUGAAUCUUUUUUCGAGAAAACUGCAGGGGAAAUUUGUCGUUUCUGAAAGCCUGUUAGAAGAUUAAAAAGAAUAAAACUUAAUUCCGGUGCAAUUAAAACUCAGAAGACUAUUUUUAAUUGGGAAAACAAGCAAUUUAAGAAAGAAAGGAUAACAUUUUACCUUAUUUUUUCAUUUAACUUGCCAUGGACUGGAGAAACCAGCUGACUUUGGAACUCUUUGUUUCGCUUUCAAAAAGCUCUUUAUUCAAAUAUUCAACACAUAUAACACGCAAAUUGAAAAGCAUAUUUUCAAAUCCCAGGCCCAAGCAGUGCUUUUGCUUAUGAAGUUUGCAUAUGCACUGAGCGCACAAAUAAUAAAACAGAGUAUUUAAUUUAGCCUGACGUACUUAACAUGUGGGUUACAAAAUUCCUUGCUCUUUCAGUCUCUCUGUCUCUCUUUCGACUUGUUUUCAUUAAGAAUAAUCAUGUUUUAAUUUUACUAUGUAUAACAUUGGUACCUGUGCAACCUGCGGUAAAUAGCAUAUAACGAAACGCAUACACACGGUAUACUGAUGAUUAUA
rnacentral:lncRNA from 1 species